GUUCUUGUAGUUGAGAUAACAACGAUGGCUUUUCGAGCCAUAGACCUUGGUUGAGGCCAAGUAAGAACUU
rnacentral:tRNA from 1 species